rnacentral:rRNA from 1 species
AGAGUUUGAUCCUGGCUCAGGAUGAACGCUGGCGGCGUGCUUAACACAUGCAAGUCGAACGAAGCACUUUAUUUGAUUUCCUUCGGGACUGAUUAUUUUGUGACUGAGUGGCGGACGGGUGAGUAACGCGUGGGUAACCUGCCUUGUACAGGGGGAUAACAGUUGGAAACGGCUGCUAAUACCGCAUAAGCGCACGGCAUCGCAUGAUGCAGUGUGAAAAACUCCGGUGGUAUAAGAUGGACCCGCGUUGGAUUAGCUAGUUGGUGAGGUAAUGGCCCACCAAGGCGACGAUCCAUAGCCGACCUGAGAGGGCGAACGGCCACAUUGGGACUGAGACACGGCCCAAACUCCUACGGGAGGCAGCAGUAGGGAAUUUUCGUCAAUGGGGGGAACCCUGAACGAGCAAUGCCGCGUGAGUGAAGACGGUCUUCGGAUUGUAAAGCUCUGUUGCGAGAGAAAAACGACACGGAUAGGGAAUGAUCCGUGGGUGAUGGUAUCUCGCCAGAAAGUCACGGCUAACUACGUGCCAGCAGCCGCGGUAAUACGUAGGUGGCGAGCGUUAUCCGGAAUGAUUGGGCGUAAAGGGUGCGUAGGCGGCCCGUUAAGUCUGGAGUCAAAGCCGGCAGCUCAACUGUCGUACGCUUUGGAAACUGGCGGGCUGGAGUGCAGAAGAGGGCGAUGGAACUCCAUGUGUAGCGGUAAAAUGCGUAGAUAUAUGGAAGAACACCAGUGGCGAAGGCGGUCGCCUGGUCUGCAACUGACGCUGAAGCACGAAAGCGUGGGGAGCAAAUAGGAUUAGAUACCCUAGUAGUCCACGCCGUAAACGAUGAAUACUAGGUGUCGGGUGGCAGAGCCAUUCGGUGCCGCAGCAAACGCAGUAAGUAUUCCACCUGGGGAGUACGUUCGCAAGAAUGAAACUCAAAGGAAUUGACGGGGACCCGCACAAGCGGUGGAGCAUGUGGUUUAAUUCGAAGCAACGCGAAGAACCUUACCAAGUCUUGACAUCCCGAUGACCGGCACGUAACGGUGCCUUCUCUUCGGAGCAUCGGAGACAGGUGGUGCAUGGUUGUCGUCAGCUCGUGUCGUGAGAUGUUGGGUUAAGUCCCGCAACGAGCGCAACCCCUAUCCUUAGUAGCCAGCGGUUUGGCCGGGCACUCUGAGGAGACUGCCAGGGAUAACCUGGAGGAAGGCGGGGAUGACGUCAAAUCAUCAUGCCCCUUAUGAUUUGGGCUACACACGUGCUACAAUGGCGUAAACAAAGGGAAGCGAGAGUGUGAGCUUAAGCAAAUCCCAAAAAUAACGUCCCAGUUCGGACUGCAGUCUGCAACUCGACUGCACGAAGCUGGAAUCGCUAGUAAUCGCGGAUCAGAAUGCCGCGGUGAAUACGUUCCCGGGUCUUGCACUCACCGCCCGUCA